rnacentral:misc_RNA from 1 species
GUAUUAAAUUUCAGCUUGUUAAAAGCUUACUGUAUAGAUCAUUCUGAUAUUGUUAUUGGUGUUUGAUAAAAACGUAGGCAAAUCAGGAAUUACACAGAUUGCUCUGCAACACUGUUUGUCUACUUGGGUGUGCACAGUGGGGUAAGAGAAGGAGAUUUUGCAGAGUGCACAUGCAAACCGGUGAAGGAGUGCCAGCACAUCUUUAAAAAUCAAUAAUGAUCCUUCCGCAGGUUCACCUACGGAAA